rnacentral:rRNA from 1 species
UAAUACGAAGGUGGCAAGCGUUGUUCGGAUUCACUGGGCAUAAAGGGCGUGUAGGCGGUAUGGCAAGCGGCGUGUGAAAUCCCGGGGCUCAACCCCGGAACUGCACGCCGAACUGCCGUACUAGAGGACAGGAGGGGGAUGUGGAACUCUAGGUGUAGCGGUGAAAUGCGUAGAUAUCUAGAGGAACGCCGGUGGCGAAAGCGACAUCCUGGCCUGUAUCUGACGCUGAGGCGCGAAAGCGUGGGUAGCAAACAGGAUUAGAUACCCUGGUAGUCCACGCCGUAAACGAUGAGCACUAGGUAGCCGCGGGAACCGACCCGUGGCUGCUGAAGGUAAUCCACUAAGUGCUCCGCCUGGGGAGUACGGUCGCAAGGCUG